CAAUGUCCCAGUCCCUGGAGAGGUCUCACCCCUCACCGAGAUGCACUCAGGGCCUAUUAGUGCUUUGAAAACUAAGCAAGAGAACAGAAACAUAUCCACCAACCUCUGUAUCGAGUCACUAAGAAUAGUCCAACACAGAACUCUUAAAAAAGACUCAUCCCUCCUAAAGCUCACCCUUUACCCCCAGACCAAUCAGCACUAAAGAACUUCACCUUCUUAUCUCCAAUGAACUUCACCUCCGGUCUGCUUGAUCCAGCCACCGCUCCUCAUGUUGGAAUUCUCCAUCAUCCUGGACUGCUCUACCACUAAGAUUUUAAACUCUGAAGUUCCAACUGCAUUGUCGAACUUUCUAAACAAAUGGCCUAUCAGUGCUUCUAACCUAACAUGAUUAAGACUAAAUUCAUCAUCUGGUCAUCCAAACUUCUUCAUCAUUUGAUUUUCCAUAUUUCUGGUAACAGUGCCAUCACUAGCCUGUUAACUAAUGUUUAAAACCUCUAAGUCAUCACUCUGCCAAAUCCAAAUGCUCCUCC